rnacentral:rRNA from 1 species
UGGGGAAUUUUGGACAAUGGGCGAAAGCCUGAUCCAGCAAUACCGCGUGUGUGACGAAGGCCUUCGGGUCGUAAAGCACUUUCAAUUGUGAAGAAAUGCAUGUAGUUAAUAGCUACAUGAGCUGACGUUAACAAUAGAAGAAGCACCGGCUAACUCUGUGCCAGCAGCCGCGGUAAUACAGAGGGUGCAAGCGUUAAUCGGAAUUACUGGGCGUAAAGCGCGCGUAGGCGGACUAUUAAGUCAUGUGUGAAAGCCCUGAGCUCAACUUAGGAAUUGCAUGUGAUACUGGUAGUCUGGAGUGUGAUAGAGGAAAGUGGAAUUUCCGGUGUAGCGGUGAAAUGCAUAGAUAUCGGAAGGAACAUCAGUGGCGAAGGCGACUUUCUGGGUCACUACUGACGCUGAGGCGCGAAAGCGUGGGGAGCAAACAGG